rnacentral:misc_RNA from 1 species
GAUGAAGAACGUAGCGAAAUGCGAUAAGUAAUGUGAAUUGCAGAAUUCAGUGAAUCAUCGAAUCUUUGAACGCAAAUUGCGCCCGCCAGUAUUCUGGCGGGCAUGCCUGUUCGAGCGUCAUUUCAACCAUCAAGCCCCAGGCUUGUGUUGGGGACCUGCGGCUGCCGCAGGCCCUGAAAACCAGUGGCGGGCUCGCUGUCACACCGGGCGUAGUAGAUUUUAUCUCGCUCAGGGCGUGCUGCGGGUUCCGGCCGUUAAAAAGCCUUUUUUACCCAAGGUUGACCUCGGAUCAGGUAGGAAGACCCGCUGAACUUAAGCAUAUCAAUAAGCGGAGGA